rnacentral:sRNA from 1 species
CCCUAGCCUUGAUUGCAGCGGCAUCCUUUUGGGUUGCGGCCGGAGCGAAGCAGAGGCUGCAACCCAAAAGAUACAGCGGAAAGCAAGAUUAAGC